GCGGGGAUAGCUCAGCUGGGAGAGCGUCAGACUGAAGCCAAACUUCAUCUGUUAUCUGAAGGUCGUGUGUUCGAUCCACACUCACCGCA
rnacentral:tRNA from 1 species